GGGGUUGUGGCUUAGUGGUAGAGUGCUCAUCUAGCACAUGUGAGGCACUGGGUUGGAUCCUCAGCAACACAU
rnacentral:tRNA from 1 species